CAGCCCUGUAGGAGACACCUCCAGAGAAAGUAACAGCUCUCAAUUGAUUAGCUGAGGAGACCGAUUUUGUAAAUCACUACUUUUCUAACAACACUGGCACAGAUGGCCAAGCAUUCUCCCUUUUCUCAGAGCUGGUUUUCCAUCCCGGAAAGAGGUCUUACAUAUACAAAGUUACUCUAAUCAGUUGUGAAGACACCAGACAAAUGAGUUACACUGUUUUGGACUCCCCAACACAACCCAGCCACCGGCUGAAUGCCACCAAAUUACCUUCUAGUUAAAGGUUUAUGGAGCAAACGAAUCACCUAUUCAAUAUCUGCUUGAAUUUCUGACUCAAAAUACAUCAGGUAUGUACUGUGUGACUUAAAUAUUGAGUUUAUUUUUAUCAAAUACCUGUCAAGAAAGAAAGUCAAUUCUGAAACAGCAGAAGCUCAAAGUUCUACAGAUGGCUUUCAAAGGAAUUUGAAUUAGACAUCAUUUGAUGUUGCAAAAAACAAUGACAUCUUUUAUAGCUCUAAACAUCAGUUUUUAAAUUAGA
rnacentral:lncRNA from 10 species